rnacentral:rRNA from 1 species
AUUUUUAUUUAAAUAAAAUGUUAAAAAAUAUGCCUGAUUUCGUCUGAUCUCGGAAGCUAAGCAGUGUCAGGUCUGGUUAGUACUUGGGCGGGAGACAGUUUGGGAAUACCAGGUGCUGUAAGCU